UGGGGGAUAGUUCAACGGCAGAACAGCAGGUUCUGGCCCUGUCGAUCUUGGUUCGAAUCCAGGUCCCCCAG
rnacentral:tRNA from 1 species